GAUGAACGCUAGCGACAGGCCUAACACAUGCAAGUCGAGGGGCAUCGGGGUGUAGCAAUACGCUGCCGGCGACCGGCGGAUGGGUGAGUAACGCGUAUGCAACCUGCCUUCAGCAGGGGGAUAGCCCGUUGAAAGACGGAUUAAUACCCCGUAACACAGGGGCUCCGCAUGGAGAUUAUUGUUAAAGGGAUGCUUCCUUCGGGGAGUAUUCCGGCUGAAGAUGGGCAUGCGUUCCAUUAGGUAGUUGGUUGAGGUAACGGCUCACCAAGCCUGCGAUGGAUAGGGGAACUGAGAGGUUGGUCCCCCACACUGGUACUGAGACACGGACCAGACUCCUACGGGAGGCAGCAGUGAGGAAUCUUGGUCAAUGGACGGAAGUCUGAACCAGCCAUGUCGCGUGAAGGAGGACGGCCCUAAGGGUUGUAAACUUCUUUUGCAGGGGAAUAAAGUAUUCCACGAGAUGGGAUAUUGCAAGUACGCUGCGAAUAAGGAUCGGCUAACUCCGUG
rnacentral:rRNA from 1 species